GCCGGGCUCCGGGGCCGGAGGCCCGCUGCUCUCGGCUCCCUCGUCGCCGCUCGCUCCAGCCGGCUGCUGCCUCUCCCGCGGCGCCUGAAGCAUCGAGCCGCCGAAGCCCGCAGCCGGCGGUAACCGGAGGAAGGUGGCGCGGUUCAAGGGGCGGCGCGGGAGGGAUUCAGUCUCCCUCGGACCCGGCGGGGGAGCAGGGAAGGGCGCGGCGCAGCCCGGAGUCCCAGGCGUCCGCCGGCGCGUGCGCUGCCCGCCGCGCCCGGGUUCGGAUCUCCGGCGAAAGCGCCUAGCGUCUCCGGUGCCGCGGAGAAGCUCCUCCCGCUCGGCGGCUGGCGCCUGAUGCGUGGUGGCCGCGGCCGCCCCCGAGUUCGCGGAGGAAGGUGCAAUGCGGAGGGAGCUGGUGGGGCUCCCCGUCUCGGCUCCCCGGGCCGGCUAGGUGGGAGCGCGGCCGAGCCCCUACCUUUCCGGCUGGGCGGACACCAGCCGCGCGCCCUCUCCGGGCGUCCCGGACAGGAAAAUCACCGCGAAGGGGGCCGGGGGAAAGCGGCGGGUGGCUUCAGGACAAGGUAGGAGGAUCAAGUUCCACAGCCAAGAAGACACUCCCAUCCCGCCCUGGUUUGUUUGGAAAGCUGCAGGGGCGAAAGUGAGGGGCACCUCGGGUGCUUCCCCCGCCCUCCCCGCCGGGCUGGCAGGCGGCAGAAGUAAACACUUUUUGCUUGGCGCGUGGGGGGACUUCUGUGACACGAGGCGGAGCAGGCGGUUUGGUCGCCAGCAGGAAGGGAGAGGGUGUUCAGAGAGACCAGAAUUCCUGGGCUCGGCCCUUCAAGGACAAAUGUGUUAGUGCUUUUUAUCUUUUGGAGGAAACGUUACUUUAGGGAGAAGAACAAAGCUGCGAGACAUCAAGCCAGCGUCUGGAGAAGGCAGAACAAGAAGACAGAAAGGAUCUGGAUCCUUGAUGAGGUGGACCAGCUGCUAAAUGAUCUGACCCUGGAAUCGUUAUAAACCCCCAAAUCAUCCCGCAUAUACAACUAGCAGUCUAGAACCCUGACAAUCCAGGCUCUCAUCAGAAAAUAACCAUGGGGGCUUCCCUGGUGGCGCAGUGGUUAAGAAUCCGCCUGCCAGUGCAGGGGCCAUGGGUUCGAGCUCUGGUCCGGGAAGAUCCCACAUGCCACGGAGCAACUAAGCCCAUGCACAACUACUGAAGCCCGCACACCUAGGAGCCAUGCUCCAAAACAAAGAGAAGCCACCGCAAUGAGAAGCCCACGCACCGCAACGAAGAGUUGCCCCCGCUCGCCGCAACUAGAGAAAGCCCGCGGGCAGCAACAAAGACCCAACGCAGCCAAAAAAUAAAAUAAAAUAAAUGCAAUAAAGAAAUUUUA